ensembl:snRNA U6 U6 spliceosomal RNA
GUGCAAGCACAUGUACUAAAAUUGGAAUAUAGAGCGUUCAGAUAGCCCCUGUGCAAGGAUGACAUGCGAAUUCAUGAAGGAUUCCAUCUUUUU